GCUAACAGUCGCCAGAUAGCGCGCACCGUUGAAACAGAUGGUAAAUGCAGCAAACAGCUGUUUGACGGUCAACAACACAAAGGUAGAAAUGCUCAAUACAGAAAAAAUCGAAGCAGUCGUAGUUGAAAACAGAAAUUUGAUUGGAGCAAUUUGUUUGGUCGUUGGAACGUAGACGAUGGAACGAUGAGCUGUACGAUUUAUACGACGACACUGACAUAGUGCAGCGAAUAAAAAGACAGCGGCUACGCUGGCUAGGUCAUGUUGUCCGAAUGGGCGAAAACACUCCAGCUCUGAAAGUGUUCGAUGGAGGAAGCCGCGGAAGAGGUCAACCUCCACUCCGGUGGAAAGACCAAGUGCAAAGUGACCUGGCUUCACUUGGUGUUUCCAGCGCCAAAUAGCAAAAAGGAGGAUCGAGUGGCGCGCUCUGAUGGAUUCGGCUAUAAUCACUUAAAGCGGUUUCUACGCCAAAUAUAUAUAUAUAUAUAUACAUAUAUAAUUUGUUUGGUCAGGAGAAAUGAAUAAUUACCGUCGAUUCUGUACAGAGUCCAUUAGUAUUUUUGGUGUUAUGAGUAACAUGAAUAAAAAUGGGCAAUGUUCUGAGUAUACUGAAAAUUUAUGAAUAGAGCCUUACAACAAUGAAACGCCUCUGCUGUGAAGAAUAGACUUCUUCUUAAGGAUUGUUCUAUGAUACUCGAGUCAAAGAGCAUAAGCACGUAUGAAGGAUUUGUGGCAGGACACUAACCAUCUAUUUUCGUAUACUUAUGUACAUACACAUAUCUUCUUUCAUUAUGAUUCGACGCUGG